rnacentral:rRNA from 1 species
AACGAACGCUGGCGGCAUGCCUAACACAUGCAAGUCGAACGAGACCUUCCGGCCUAGUGGCGCACGGGUGCGUAACGAGUGGGAACUUGCACUUAGGUUCGGAAUAACUCAGUGUAAUUUGAGCUAAUAACGGAUGAUGUAUUCGGACCAAAGAUGUAUGGCCUCUGGAUGGGCCCGCGUUGGUUUCGCCGGUUGGGGGGGUAAAGGCCUAGCAAGGCGACGUUGCUUAGCUGGUGGGGGACGAGGACCCACCACACUGGGACUGAGACACGGCCCAGACUGCUACGGGAGGGAGCAGUGGAGAAUAUAGUGCGAUGGAGGAUAGCGUGAUCCAGCAAUGCCGGGUAAGUGAUGAAGGCCUUAGGGUUGUAAAGCUCUUUGACCCGAGAUGAUAAUGACAGUAUCGGGAGAAUAAGCUCCGGCUAACUCCGUG